rnacentral:lncRNA from 1 species
AAGAAACCCAAGAUUAUGUUUGAUACGUCCUGCAGUCCUGAGGUUCCUCAUCUGGUCAAUAAAUCUUGGGUCAUGCAGUAGCAGCUUCAUCCGUGUGAAUGAACAGCUAUACCAACAUGACCAACUGCCAAUUAAAUGCUUGCAUUAUUAAGCUCCAGUGACCUUCCCUGUUUGGCAAUACUUCCUCUGUUACUGGGAAAAAGAGAAGGAGCAGGAGAGCAGGUUGGAGAGAAGGGCAGAGGAAGAGGAAGCGAGAGAAAUCUAAGCAGGUUCCAUGCCCAGUGUGGAGACCAGCUCAGGGCCUGAUCUCACCAUCCUGAGAAAAUAACGUGAGCUGAAAUCAAGCAUCAGAUGCUUAACCAACUGAGCCACCCAGAAUCCCCUGGAUAGAGGAUUUUUAUCAGAUCUAUAUUUUACAAGUAUGUUCUUCUUUCAGUUUGUAACACUCUCCUUUUAGAUGGUGUCAAGGAU